UACGGAGGAUGCAAGCGUUGUCCGGAUUCAUUGGGUUUAAAGGGUGCGUAGGCGGAGAAUUAAGUCAGUGGUGAAAGCUCGCAGCUUAACUGUGAAAAUGCCAUUGAAACUGAUUUUCUUGAGUUCGAUUGAGGUAGAUGGAAUGUAUCAUGUAGCGGUGAAAUGCUUAGAUAUGAUACAGAACACCAAUUGCGAAGGCAGUCUACUAAGUCGAUACUGACGCUGAGGCACGAAAGCAUGGGGAGCAAACAGG
rnacentral:rRNA from 2 species